rnacentral:rRNA from 1 species
UACAGAGGAGCCAAGCGUUGUCCGGAUUGACUGGGCGUAAAGCGCACGCAGGCGGUCGCGCGCGUGGGGGGUGAAAUCUGGCCGCUUAACGGCCAGGCGCCAUCCCAUACGGCGCGACUGGAGUGAUGCAGAGGUCGAUGGAAUUGCCGGUGUAGUGGUGAAAUGCGUAGAGAUCGGCAGGAACACCCAGGGGGAAACCAGUCGACUGGGCAUCUACUGACGCUGAGGUGCGAGAGCGUGGGGAGCGAACAGG